GUAGGGUGCAAGCGUUAUCCGGAAUCAUUGGGCGUAAAGAGCUCGUAGGCGGUUCAGCAAGUCGGCUGUGAAAGUCCGAGGCUCAGCCUCGGAACUGCAGUCGAUACUGCUGUGACUCGAGUCCGGUAGAGGAGAAUGGAAUUCAGGGUGUAGCGGUGAAAUGCGCAGAUAUCCUGAGGAACACCAGUAGCGAAGGCGGUUCUCUGGGCCGGUACUGACGCUGAGGAGCGAAAGCGUGGGUAGCAAACAGGAUUAGAUACCCUGGUAGUCCCACGCCGUAAACGUUGGACACUAGGUGUGGCGUUCCGACCAACGGGUGCCGUGCCGAAGCUAACGCAUUAAGUGUCCCCGCCUAGGGAGUACGGCCGCAAGGCUA
rnacentral:rRNA from 1 species